CUUAUCCGUUGGUGAACCUGCGGACGGUUCAUAAACAAUGUUCAAAGGAUGUGCUGGCGUUGAAUCGCAUGUGCACUCCUUAACUUAACCACACACACCUGUGAACCUCGAACCGUGUCCUCCAGGGGAUGCGUGUUCAACCUUUACAAAACCCAUUUGAUCAGAGCUCUGGAACGAGACGCUCCAAAGCUAAAACAACCAUCAGCAACGGAUCUCUUGGCAUUCCAAUCGAUGAAGAACGUAGCGAAUGCGCGAUACCGUAAUGUGUAUUGCAGAAUUCAGUGAAUCAUCGAAUCUUUGACCGCACCUUCCACCCUCUGGUAUACCGGAGGGUAUGCCCGAUUGAGUGUCAUGAAUACCUCAACUCCAAUGUUUUGUUAAUGCUCUUGUCGACUCGUCCUGUCGGCCUUGUGAGACUGCUGUGACUGUUGCGAGGCUUAUGCGUUGGAGCUUGGACCUGAGCUCUGUUGGCCUUCCCAGUUCCCUGGCUAGACAUGCAUCAGGGAUGACGUCCCUUGGGUCCAUCUCGGCGUGAUAAGUUGACCCUUCGCAAAGGUCUCUCGGGUUGCCUCGCUCCUAAGGCGUCUUCGGACAGACUCUCCACGUUUUCACCUCAACUGUGGGUAGGACUACCCGCUGAACUUAAGCAUAUCAAUAAGCAGAGGACCGCGUU
rnacentral:rRNA from 1 species